rnacentral:rRNA from 1 species
UUCGGAAUGACGAGGUUUGUGACUGAGCGGCGGACGGGUGAGUAACGCGUGAGUAACCUGCCUUUCAGAGGGGGAUAACGUUUUGAAAAGAACGCUAAUACCGCAUGACAUAUUGAGGCUGCAUGGCUUUGAUAUCAAAGGAGCAAUCCGCUGAAAGAUGGACUCGCGUCCGAUUAGCCAGUUGGCGGGGUAAAGGCCCACCAAAGCGACGAUCGGUAGCCGGACUGAGAGGUUGAACGGCCACAUUGGGACUGAGACACGGCCCAGACUCC